rnacentral:rRNA from 1 species
CCCAGACUCCUACGGGAGGCAGCAGUGAGGAAUAUUGGUCAAUGGGCGCGAGCCUGAACCAGCCAAGUCGCGUGAGGGAGGACGGCCCUACGGGUUGUAAACCUCUUUUGCCGGGGAGCAACGGGCGCCACGUGUGGCGCCACUGAGAGUACCCGGAGAAAAAGCAUCGGCUAACUCCGUGCCAGCAGCCGCGGUAAUACGGAGGUGGCAAGCGUUGUCCGGAUUUACUGGGUGUAAAGGGCGUGUAGCCGGGUUGACAAGUCAGAUGUGAAAUCCUGCGGCUUAACCGCAGAACUGCAUUUGAAACUGUUGAUCUUGAGUACUGGAGAGGCAGACGGAAUUCCUAGUGUAGCGGUGAAAUGCGUAGAUAUUAGGAGGAACACCAGUGGCGAAGGCGGACUGCUGGACAGCAACUGACGGUGAGGCGCGAAAGCGUGGGGAGCAAACAGGAUUAGAUACCCGAGUAAA